AAGCUGCAGACUUAUCUUCCCUCCAUCAUCUGAUAUUCAAAGUGCAAUUCUUUCAGCAUCUUAAGGCCUUCAAUAAAAUUUUCUGAUUUUGGAAUGCAAUUCCACUUGCUUAAAAAGGAGCAUUGAAUAACAAAGUCAGCAAAUACAAUAUGUUAAUCCUCUGGCUGCUCUGAAGUCUUCACACAGUCAUUUGACUGGCGAAUUGGAAGAAUGACAGCAGCAGCAUGGAUAUUGCAUCCCUUCUUUCCAGCAGAGAGGCACAGAGAGGCGUCUAAAUCUCUGCUACAUCCGUCUCCUAAGUCUCUUCCAUUUUCUGAAAUGUUGGCUGCAGCUGAGUUUCGCUGCCUGAUACCUAACAUCAUGAAGGUGUCCCAGCUGCAUGGAUUGCCGCCACCUAGUAGACAGCCCUUGUGGAGUGGCCCCUG